AGUUGAAAGAUUUCUUACCUGAAAGUAGAGGAAGAAAGCUUUAAGCAGAAAAGUAUUGAAGGAAGCCCAUUAAUUCCUUUGCAUUAAAUGAAGAUGAGUUAAGAGUUAGACUAUAGAUAUGAGAAAGGAAGUAAUCUUACCAUGAAUUGUAUCUGGAGAUAAUAAUGCUUAAGAAGAGUAAUUUUUCACAGUGUUCUUUUCUUUUAUCUAAUAUUCAUGGUAUCCUUAAUUUUUUAAGGAGAAGGAAAUAAUGGAGGGAUAAAUAAAUAUAUUAUCAAAACUAGAGGAUUAUCUUGAUUUGUAUUUCCUAGACCAUCGAGAGAGGUUAAUUACAGACUUCAUAAUAUUGAGGAAUUGGGAGGAUUAUAGCAAAAUUUUCUUCAUUUGAUCUAAAAUUUUUGAAAUGAAGAUUUUACUUACUCACACAUUCUUGGCAGAGUGAAUGCAUAAUUUUAAGAGUUCUUUCCUCACAAAGGAAAUUAUAUCAAUUUAGAAUAGCUGUUACUCAG
rnacentral:lncRNA from 1 species